AUUGAACGCUGGCGGCAGGCCUAACACAUGCAAGUCGAGCGGAUGAAGGGAGCUUGCUCCUGGAUUCAGCGGCGGACGGGUGAGUAAUGCCUAGGAAUCUGCCUGGUAGUGGGGGAUAACGUCCGGAAACGGGCGCUAAUACCGCAUACGUCCUGAGGGAGAAAGUGGGGGAUCUUCGGACCUCACGCUAUCAGAUGAGCCUAGGUCGGAUUAGCUAGUUGGUGGGGUAAAGGCCUACCAAGGCGACGAUCCGUAACUGGUCUGAGAGGAUGAUCAGUCACACUGGUACUGAGACACGGUCCAGACUCCUACGGGAGGCAGCAGUGGGGAAUAUUGGACAAUGGGCGAAAGCCUGAUCCAGCCAUGCCGCGUGUGUGAAGAAGGUCUUCGGAUUGUAAAGCACUUUAAGUUGGGAGGAAGGGCGGUAAGUUAAUACCUUGCUGUUUUGACGUUACCAACAGAAUAAGCACCGGCUAACUUCGUG
rnacentral:rRNA from 1 species